GCAAGCAUCCAGAGAGUUUGGACUUUAGCAUCUGUGUUGGCAGAUCUGUGCAAUGUGACCUCGCACCUAAACAAAAUUGCUCUUUACAGUUUAGGCCCAGUCUGGAGAAUGGGGGCAUUGAUUUUCCAAAUCCACAAAUGCAGAAUACCAUCGUGAAACUAUAAUUUAUUUAUACAAAUGGUGUGUUUUUACAAAGGCCAUCUGUCAGUUGACUCUCUGAUCUAAAACAAAUCUGUUUGUUCCCCCAGAAGAAAUAACAUGUCUGUUGAAAAAAGAUUUAUGGACGACAGGCUGCCCAAUCCACCAGCCAUUGGUAUAAUAGUAACUAUUUAUGAUAUAUUUACUUCUAAAGGGGUGCUGUGAGUGGAAACUAUUACUUGUAAAGUAUGGUAAUUAAUUUUUCAUUACCUCAAAGCCAAGAAAUGGAGCCCACUUGCAUUUAUUAAGAUUGCUGCAUGAGAAACAUGUUCCUUCUGGAAAAAAAAAAUCCAGGCUGUGCAAGCAUGGAGCCCACAUCACUUUGCUUCUUUUUUCCUGUUCCACGGCUCAUCUCCAAAGAUCCUGUUCACAACCUCCCAGGCCAUGUAAUGCUGGAGAUAACUGUGCCUAGUAACAUUGCUACAAUGCUGCCAUACAGCUGUGCAUGGGUGAUGCCUGUCAUUUUCAAUAUAACUGUGAACAGUGAAG
rnacentral:lncRNA from 1 species